rnacentral:rRNA from 1 species
CAAUAGCGUAUAUUAAAGUUGUUGCGGUUAAAAAGCUCGUAGUUGGAUUUCUGCCGAGGACGACCGGUCCGCCCUCCGGGUGAGUAUCUGGCUCGGCCUGGGCAUCUUCUUGGAGAACGUAACUGCACUUGGCUGUGUGGUGCGGUAUUCAGGACUUUUACUUUGAGGAAAUUAGAGUGUUUCAAGCAGGCACACGCCUUGAAUACAUUAGCAUGGAAUAAUAAGAUAGGACCUCGGUUCUAUUUUGUUGGUUUCUAGAUCUGAGGUAAUGAUUAAUAGGGAUAGUUGGGGGCAUUAGUAUUUAAUUGUCAGAGGUGAAAUUCUUGGAUUUAUGAAAGACUAACAUCUGCGAAAGCAUUUGCCAAGGAUGUUUUCAUUGA